rnacentral:rRNA from 1 species
AUUGAACGCUGGCGGCAGGCCUAACACAUGCAAGUCGAGCGGAGCGGCGGACGGGUGAGUAAUGCUAAGGAAUCUGACUGGUAGUGGUGGAUAACGUCCGGAAACGGGCGCGAAUACUGCAUACUAUCAGAUGAGGCUAGGUCGGAUUAGCUAGAAGGUGUGGUAAAGGCCUACCAAGGCGACGACCCGUACCUGGUCUGAGAGGAUGAUCAGUCACACUGGAACUGAGACACGGUCCAGACUCCUACGGGAGGCAGCAGUGGGGAAUAUUGCACAAUGGGCGAAAGCCUGAUCCAGCCAUGCCGCGUGUGUGAAGAAGGUCUUCGGGUUGUAAAGCACUUUCAGUUGGGAGGCGUUACCAACAGAAGAAGCACCGGCUAACUUCGUGCCAGCAGCCGCGGUAAUAC